GGGGGUAUAGCUCAGCUGGGAGAGCAGCAGACUGAAGGACUAUGAGACUUUGGUAUUCUGAAGGUCCCGCGUUCGAUCCGCGGUACCCCCA